rnacentral:rRNA from 1 species
AACGCGAAGAACCUUACCAGCUCUUGACAUGGGACGUUUGGGCUCGAGAGAUCGGGUCCGUCAGUUCGGCUGGCGUCCACACAGGUGCUGCAUGGCUGUCGUCAGCUCGUGUCGUGAGAUGUUGGGUUAAGUCCCGCAACGAGCGCAACCCUCAUCUUCAGUUGCCAUCAUUAAGUUGGGAACUCUAAAGGUACCGCCGGUGGUAAGCCGGAGGAAGGUGGGGAUGAUGUCAAGUCCUCAUGGCCCUUACAAGGUGGGCUACACACGUGCUACAAUGGCGACUACAGAGGGCAGCAAACCAGCGAUGGGGAGCCAAUCCCUAAAAGUCGUCUCAGUUCGGAUUGCACUCUGCAACUCGAGUGCAUGAAGUCGGAAUCGCUAGUAAUCGCGGAUCAGCACGCCGCGGUGAAUACGUUCCCGGGCCUUGUACACACCGACUGUAC